rnacentral:rRNA from 1 species
UACAGAGGGUGCGAGCGUUGUUCGGAAUUAUUGGGCGUAAAGCGCUGGUAGGUGGCUUGUUAAGUCGCGUGUGAAAUCUCCAGGCUCAACCUGGAAAGUGCGCGCGAAACUGGCGAGCUUGAGUGCCGGAGAGGGUCGCGGAAUUCCCAGUGUAGAGGUGAAAUUCGUAGAUAUUGGGAGGAACACCAGAGGCGAAGGCGGCGACCUGGAAGGUAACUGACACUGAGCAGCGAAAGCGUGGGGAGCAAACAGG